AUCAAGAGCUGGACGGACACUUAACUGAGCCACCUAGCUCCCCCCCCCUCCACCCCUGCCGCCUUCAGUUAUUAAUUCCUAAUAAAAUGACUUUUACAGGAACAUCAGAAGGCAUCACACGCCUGGCUGCGCUGAGCAGGAGGAACGUAAGGCCUACAACUUUCCUCUCCAUAGGUGUCCCCGGUGCACGUAGUGGAGAGCCUCUGUUGACACCGAACACACCCCCUAAGCCGGAGGACAACUGAAGAGAAAGGCUGUUCACGAAGCUGGAUCAUCCUGGUCACGUGGCUUCGCCAGGACUGAGUAAAUCCAUCACUGGGAUAAUUCCACUCCUCCCUGAUUGACUUCUGGUGAGGCAGUUUGUCUAGCAACCAUGUGUCUUCACUUACAACCGACGGCCCUUCCCACGGGAAGGCAGCUGGCAGGGCGCGCCCGCAACGAGUGCGAACUUAACCUCACACACCAGGUUAUCGCUGCAAAGGAGCGGACAGACAGAUCGCUGCUGUUUUCCGCCGCCUCCCUUGCCUGGAGUUUUGUUCACCACACCCCUCGGUUCCGGAGCUGAUCUCUGUAACCACUGCCUGCGCCUAGAGGGCAGUAGCGACAGCCCAGUUCCAGACGGAGCGGGGGCCCAGAAGCACACCGCGGGCGGCGUAGAAACCGAAGGGAACCGCCUUUCACAUGUGUGCCUGUGAUAGAUGGGGGAUAGAUGGAAGUGAGUCUGCUUUGCACCAAGCCCUCGUCGCCCCUCCUCCUCUCUUCUCCCCUCACUCCUUCUCUUGGAUCCGCAGCAGACUCAGAAAAACAACUGCAAACCCCCAGACUGGGUGGUUCCUUCAAAGGCAAACUCGCAAGACUCCAAGGCGUCCAGGCUCCAGGACGGAACAGACGACUGGUGGGAUGGCUCUGAGCAAAUCCAUCUCAGUUCUGAAAAGAACGAGCCGAAAAGCCACUUUUCCAACUCGGAUCCCGAAGGUCAGUUUCAUCACAAAGAGGACAGCUUUUCACUUUACCGCCAAUCAAAUUCUUCUUAGAGAAGGAGACAAAGACAGCUGUCCUCGAUGCUGGGUAUCAGAAGACAUUGAGAGAUCUAGUGGUUUCUUGACUAAUGGACAUUUUCUGGUGGCCCAUGUCCCAGAACCAGAGCCUACGAGGAAGAUCAGCUUCUAGAAGCUGCCCACAUUCCAUGGCCCCUUCCUGCCACCGCUCCAACCUCCGGCUUCUACAUCUCCCACUAUUGGCUUUGCCCUUCUUGCUUGCUCUCAGAGGGGAUUACAUGUGAUUUCAUUGGGCCCACCCAGAUAGCUCAAGAUAAUCUCCCCAUCUCAAGAUUUUUUGCUUAAUCACAUCAGCAAAGGCUCUUCUGCAAUAUAAGAACCCACCACACAUUUGCUGUAGAACGAGUGCUGGCUGACUUCCAGAGGCCAACUGGGACAUGAGCAGGCAAAAAGGAAGAGCCCCAUUAACUGUAGUUCUUCACCCCCAGUGGGGAGAACAGAAAUGCAACCGGGGCCUAUCUCUUCCCCCUCUCAAUGGGCCACCGUUGUUUUCCUCUGCUAAUGUUUGUGCCUGGUGCAGUGUAGGGGCAAGAAGGCGGGCAGCGGGCCCAGUAGUUCUGGGCAGUCUCGUGGCACAGGAUUCACUGUAUUCUUGGAGUUGCUCCUCUGCCUUAUGGAUGAAAGGGGACUAGAAGACAUAGUCUUUGCCAUCCGUGGAGGCAAGAGAGCAAACAAAUUAAAAAAGCAAAGGGACAUUGUACGAGUGAAAACAAAUUUGCAUCCACAUAAAACUUAUGCACUCUGGUAACAUGAAUCAUUCAUUUACUCUCUCAUUUUUAUCUCCCGACAAACAUUUUGUAAGUACCUUCCUUCUAUGAGACAACAAGGGAGCAGGCCAUGUUAGCCUGAAUUAUGUUCAGAGUUCUUGAGUCUUCUCGGGCUUAUGAAGCAAUAAAUGGACAAUGACGUGGACAUUGGGUAUGGCAAGUGUUGCUUUAGGGAAGCAAAGGAGACCACAGAGACCGAGGAGGACACUCACCCAGCCUGGGGGUGACAAAGGGUCAAUUUCAACCACCAAAGAACACCUGCGUUUAGUCACAAUAUUUUCAAAUAUGAAGAGCAGAGGAGGGGGGUGGGGCAGCACAGUAUUCUGGAAAAGGAACUUGCCCGAGGCCUCAAGGACCUCGAUAGUCACCAGGCAGGAAGUUUGAUGGAAGGUUCAGAUUCAGAGAUUUAGGACAAAAUUAAUAAUCAUAACAAAGGCAUUUUGUUACUCUGGAGAAAGGCAGUCUUGCUGUCAUCAGUAUCACCAUAGCCUCUGCGCAGAGGAAUAGAGUUCUUCUUCAGUGCCUCCUUUACUUUUGUGGAUUCCUGAAACCAUAGCCAACCAGCUCCCUCCCAAUUGCCCAAGCGCUCCCGUGUCGCCCCUUCUAUCACAGGAGUAUGUGAUUCUGGAGUCGUGAUUCUGGAAACCAGCCUGCACCAGAUGUUUCUGGAAAGCUUGUUAAAAACAGAUUGCUGGGCCCCACCUCCCAGAAUUUCUGAUUCAACCGGUGUUGCUCUUUAUACAGAGUGCAGAAAUAAACCCAUGCUUUUAUGGUGAAUUAAUCUAUAACAAACGAGGUGAGACUAUGCGACUGGGAAAAGACAGUCUCUUCAACAAAUACUGUGGGAAAACAAGACGACUACAUGCAAAAGAAUGAAAUUGGACCAC